rnacentral:rRNA from 1 species
CACGUAGGGCGCAAGCGUUGUCCGGAAUUAUUGGGCGUAAAGAGCUCGUAGGCGGUCUGUUGCGUCCGCUGUGAAAACUCGGGGCUUAACCCCGAGCCUGCAGUGGAUACGGGCAGACUAGAGGUAGGUAGGGGAGAAUGGAAUUCCCGGUGUAGCGGUGAAAUGCGCAGAUAUCGGGAAGAACACCCGUGGCGAAGGCGGCUCUCUGGAACGCAACUGACGCUGAGACGCGAAAGCGUGGGGAGCAAACAGG